GUUAACGCUGGCAGCGUGCAUAACACAUGCAAGUCGAGCGGGACUGUUUGAGAUUAUAUCAAUGACAGUUUAGCGGCAGACGAGUGAGUAACACGUAAGAAAUCUACCCCUAAGUCGGGAACAACUUGCCGAAAGGUGAGCUAAUACCCGAUAUAAUCCCGGAGUGGCAUCACUUUGGGAUGAAAGGCGUAAGUCGCUUUGGGAGGAUCUUGCGACCUAUCAGCUAGUUGGUGAGGGUAACGGCCCACCAAGGCGAUGACGGGUAGCCGGCCUGAAAGGGCGACCGGCCACGGAGGCACUGAGACACGGGCCUCACUCCUACGGGAGGCAGCAGUGGGGAAUUUUGGACAAUGGGGGCAACCCUGAUCCAGCAACGCUGCGUGAAGGACGAAGGUCUUCGGAUUGUAAACUUCUUUUGUUCGGGACGAAAGCCCGCAAGGGUUUGACGGUACCGGAUGAAUAAGCCACGGCUAACUACGUGCCAGCAGCCGCGGUAAGACGUAGGUGGCGAGCGUUACUCGGAAUCACUAGGCGUAAAGCGCGUGUAGGCGGGUGCUUAAGUCUGUUGUGAAAUCUCCCGGCUCAACUGGGAGGGGUCAACGGAUACUGGGCGUCUGGAGUGGGGCAGGGGUCACUGGAAUUCCAGGUGUAGCGGUGAAAUGCGUAGAUAUCUGGAGGAACACCAAUGGGCGAAGGCAGGUGACUGGGCCUUUACUGACGCUAAGACGCGGAAGCUAGGGGAGCAAACAGGAUUAGAUACCCUGGUAGUCCUAGCCGUAAACGAUGAACACUAGGUGUAGGAGGAAUCGACCCCUUCUGCGCCGACGCUAACGCAUUAAGUGUUCCGCCUGGGGAGUACGGCCGCAAGGUUAAAACUCAAAGGAAUUGACGGGGGCCCGCACAAGCGGUGGAGCAUGUGGUUUAAUUCGACGCUACGCGAAGAACCUUACCUGGGCUCGAACGACUUGGUAGUAGUCCUUAUGAAAGUAGGGGCGAUCCGCAAGGAAGCCAGCCGAGGUGCUGCAUGGUUGUCGUCAGCUCGUGUCGUGAGAUGUUGGGUUAAGUCCCACAACGAGCGCAACCCCUAUCCUGUGUUGCUACCCGCAAGGGGGGACUCUCAGGAGACUGCCGCGGAUAACGUGGAGGAAGGUGGGGUCGACGUCAAAUCAUCAUGGCCUUUAUGUCCAGGGCCACACACGUGCUACAAUGGCGUAUACAACGGGAUGCAAGACCGCAAGGUGGAGCAAAUCCCUCAAAGUACGCCUCAGUUCAGAUUGUGGGCUGCAAUUCGCCCACAUGAAGGCGGAAUCGCUAGUAAUCGCAGAUCAGCAGGCUGCGGUGAAUACGUUCCCGGGCCUUGUACACACCGCCCGUCACACCACGAAAGCCCAUUGCAACAGAAGUGGUUCGUAAGAAUCCCGAAGUUGUGAUUGGUGAUGGGGGUG
rnacentral:rRNA from 1 species